UACACCGCAGGCGUUUGAAAUAACGCUAACCAGUGGAAAUUGAACCGAUAAAGGCAGGGCUUAGUAAGCGAAAGCCCACCAGCCCUGAGGUGAUAAGA
rnacentral:ncRNA from 1 species